CAUUACAACAGCCACUGUUUAUUGGGUCUCUAUUACUUGGAUAACUGAGCUAAUUGUUGAGCUAAUACACGCACGAAAGCUCCGACUGCAAGGAAGGAGCGCAUUUAUUAGAACAAAACCAAUCGGACUUCGGUCCGUACGUUGGUGAAUCUAAAUAAUUUUGCAGAUCGCAUGGUCUCGAACCGGCGACGCACCUUUCAAAUGUCUGCCUUAUCACCUUUCGAUGGUAGUUUAUACGCCUACCAUGGGUUUUACGGGUAACGGAGAAUAAGGGUUCGACUCCGGAGAGGGAGCCUGAGAAACGGCUACCACAUCCAAGGAAGGCAGCAGGCACGCAAAUUACCCACUCCCGGCACGGGGAGGUAGUGACGAAAAAUAACGAGGUGGUUCUCUAUGAGGCCCACCAUCGGAAUGGGUACAAUUUAAAUCCUUUAACGAGGAACUAUUGGAGGGCAAGUCUGGUGCCAGCAGCCGCGGUAAUUCCAGCUCCAAUAGCGUAUAUUAAAGUUGUUGCGGUUAAAAAGCUCGUAGUUGGAUCUGCGGCCGAGGAGAGCGGUCACCCGUUGGGUUGCUACUGCUUUUCCUGGCCUAAUUCUUCGGUUUUCCCUUGAUGCUCUUCAUUGAGUGUCUUGGGUGGCCGAAACGUUUACUUUGAAAAAAUUAGAGUGCUCAAGGCAAGCUAUUAGCUUGAAUAGUGGUGCAUGGAAUAAUAAAAGAGGAUAUUGGUCCGUUUUGUUGGUAAUGGUCCGAUAUAAUGAUAGAGGGGGACAAUCGGGGGCAUUCGUAUUGCGACGUUAGAGGUGAAAUUCUUGGAUCGUCGCAAGACGGACUACUGCGAAAGCAUUUGCC
rnacentral:rRNA from 1 species